rnacentral:snRNA from 1 species
GCUGGCUUUGGUAGCAUGCAAGUAAAAUUAGCACGAUGCAGAGAAGACUAGCAUGGCCUCUGUGCAAAGGUGACAUACACAUAAUCACAAAUACAAUGACAUGAAU